rnacentral:pre_miRNA from 1 species
UCAUCAAGGCUAAAGGGAGAAGAGAGAGAGUACAGCCUUGUUGCCAUGUACACACUCAGAUAUCAACAGUCUCUUAUAUUUGCUGUUACUACCUGUUAUUAGUGUCCAGUGAUGAUGAAGGCUGUACCCUCUCUCUUCUUCUCUUAGCUUCUUGAUGC